GGCCCGAUAGCCAAGAGGCUAAGGCAACGGUUUGCAAAACCGUCAUUCGUCGGUUCGACUCCGACUCGGGCCUCCA
rnacentral:tRNA from 1 species